rnacentral:tRNA from 1 species
UUAUUUAUAGUAUAAUUAUUACAUCUUCUUUUCACGAAGGGAAUUUGACCCUCGUCUUUAAAU